ACACAGCCGUGCUGGCGGGCGCCCGGCGUUCUCACCCCCGACCCUCACAGCCCGGAGGAGGAGGAGAGGCAGCAGCAGCAACAGCAGCAGUGCAGCAGCGAGUACAUCACUAUGGCAACCAGCGUCAUGACGUUUGUCCGCCUGUCCGGCGCCAUCUGAUUACGUCAUCCAGAAGUUCCUACUACACUGGUAGUGGAGUGCGUGCGAUCGCUGGCGUGGGACAGGACUCAAGGCGCUUUACAGACAUCAAAAACAAUGCACACAAUACAGAAAAUGUA